UACGUAGGGUGCGAGCGUUAAUCGGAAUUACUGGGCGUAAAGCGCACGUAGGCGGAUUUGUAAGUCAGGGGUGAAAUCCCGGGGCUCAACCUCGGAACUGCCUUUGAUACUGCAAGUCUCGAGUCCGAUAGAGGUGAGUGGAAUUCCUAGUGUAGAGGUGAAAUUCGUAGAUAUUAGGAAGAACACCAGUGGCGAAGGCGGCUCACUGGAUCGGUACUGACGCUGAGGUGCGAAAGCGUGGGGAGCAAACAGG
rnacentral:rRNA from 1 species